AACGAACGCUGGCGGCAGGCUUAACACAUGCAAGUCGAACGGGCGUAGCAAUACGUCAGUGGCGGACGGGUGAGUAACACGUGGGAAUAUGCCUUUCGGUUCGGAACAACUCGGGGAAACCCGUGCUAAUUCCGGAUACGCCCUUACGGGAAGGAUUAUCGCCGAAGAUUAGCCGCGUUGGAUUAGCUAGUUGGUGAGGUAAAGGCUCACCAAGGCGACGAUCCAUAGCUGGUUUGAGAGAACGACCAGCCACACUGGGACUGAGACACGGCCCAGACUCCUACGGGAGGCAGCAGUGGGGAAUCUUGGACAAUGGAGGAAACUCUGAUCCAGCCAUGCCGCGUGAGUGAUGAAGGCCUUGGUU
rnacentral:rRNA from 1 species